CGAGCGGACAGAAGGGAGCUUGCUCCCGGAUGUUAGCGGCGGACGGGUGAGUAACACGUGGGUAACCUGCCUGUAAGACUGGGAUAACUCCGGGAAACCGGAGCUAAUACCGGAUAGUUCCUUGAACCGCAUGGUUCAAGGAUGAAAGACGGUUUCGGCUGUCACUUACAGAUGGACCCGCGGCGCAUUAGCUAGUUGGUGAGGUAACGGCUCACCAAGGCGACGAUGCGUAGCCGACCUGAGAGGGUGAUCGGCCACACUGGGACUGAGACACGGCCCAGACUCCUACGGGAGGCAGCAGUAGGGAAUCUUCCGCAAUGGACGAAAGUCUGACGGAGCAACGCCGCGUGAGUGAUGAAGGUUUUCGGAUCGUAAAGCUCUGUUGUUAGGGAAGAACAAGUGCAAGAGUAACUGCUUGCACCUUGACGGUACCUAACCAGAAAGCCACGGCUAACUACGUGCCAGCAGCCGCGGUAAUACGUAGGUGGCAAGCGUUGUCCGGAAUUAUUGGGCGUAAAGGGCUCGCAGGCGGUUUCUUAAGUCUGAUGUGAAAGCCCCCGGCUCAACCGGGGAGGGUCAUUGGAAACUGGGAAACUUGAGUGCAGAAGAGGAGAGUGGAAUUCCACUUGUAGCGGUGAAAUGCGUAGAGAUGUGGAGGAACACCAGUGGCGAA
rnacentral:rRNA from 1 species